UGGGGAAUAUUGCACAAUGGGCGCAAGCCUGAUGCAGCCAUGCCGCGUGUAUGAAGAAGGCCUUCGGGUUGUAAAGUACUUUCAGCGGGGAGGAAGGGAGUAAAGUUAAUACCUUUGCUCAUUGACGUUACCCGCAGAAGAAGCACCGGCUAACUCCGUGCCAGCAGCCGCGGUAAUACGGAGGGUGCAAGCGUUAAUCGGAAUUACUGGGCGUAAAGCGCACGCAGGCGGUUUGUUAAGUCAGAUGUGAAAUCCCCGGGCUCAACCUGGGAAAUGCAUUCGAAACUGGCAGGCUAGAGUCUUGUAGAGGGGGGUAGAAUUCCAGGUGUAGCGGUGAAAUGCGUAGAGAUCUGGAGGAAUACCGGUGGCGAAGGCGGCCCCCUGGACAAAGACUGACGCUCAGGUGCGAAAGCGUGGGGAGCAAACAGG
rnacentral:rRNA from 1 species